rnacentral:tRNA from 1 species
GCGGCCGUGGUCUAAUCUGGUUAGGACACAGUCAACGCAAACCUGCAAUCCCAAAUUCAAAUUCUAGUGGUCGCACCA